rnacentral:rRNA from 1 species
AGUGAACGCUGGCGGUAGGCCUAACACAUGCAAGUCGAACGGCAGCACAGUAAGAUCUUGCUCUUACGGGUGGCGAGUGGCGGACGGGUGAGGAAUACAUCGGAAUCUACUUUUUCGUGGGGGAUAACGUAGGGAAACUUACGCUAAUACCGCAUACGACCUACGGGUGAAAGCAGGGGAUCUUCGGACCUUGCGCGAUUGAAUGAGCCGAUGUCGGAUUAGCUAGUUGGCGGGGUAAAGGCCCACCAAGGCGACGAUCCGUAGCUGGUCUGAGAGGAUGAUCAGCCGCACUGGAACUGGGACACGGUCCAGACGCCUAAGGGAGGGAGCAGUGGGGAAUAUUGGACAAUGGGCGCAAGCCUGAUACAGCCAUACCGCGUGGGUGAAGAAGGCCUUCAGGUUGUAAAGCCCUUUUGUUGGGAAAGAAAAGCAGCAGGUUAAUACCCCGCUGUUCUGACGGUACCCAAAGAAUAAGCACCGGCUAACUUCGUG